GUGCUCACUUCAACAGCAUGUGUACUAAAAUUGAAAUGAUACAGAGAAGAUUAGCAUGGGCCCUGUGCAAGGAUGAUACACAAAUUUGUGAAGUGUUCUGUAUGGGG